UUUCCCUUUCUUUCCAGGAGGAGGCGAGUCCUUGUCUGCACAGGGAGUGGGAGCACAGGGAGCGAGUCCGGGAGAUAGCGGAGACCCACGGGAGACACCUGACAGAGAUCCAGGCACGGAACAGGGGCCUGGAGCAAAAGAGAGACGGUACUGGGAUACUGGGAGACUGGUGGCUGGAAAGAUCCUUGAGGUGGUUGCCCGUGCCGUCGCCCUUGCCGAGAACCCUCCCCUUCACCACACCCCUUAUAACCCCUUCUGAUUCAAAAUAAAAGCUGGUUUACCAGACCCUGAAGAACACAGCUGAGAGCAGCACAGGACCAGCCCUGAUGGAGCUGGGUAAGGAUGGGGUGGAAACAGCUGCCCUGCCCCCCCUGCCAGCUCCACACCCCAGACAGCUGACCUCAAACCCAACCCCACAAAUACAGCAGAGCAUUGCAGUCCCCUACAUUCUCCAAAAACCAUUGCCGAGGAUCCCCAGAUUAGAAUCAGCUCAGAACCCCCUCCCCUUGAACUGCUGAAAGCCAGG